GAAAGGCCCCUUCGGGGGUACUCGAGUGGCGAACGGGUGAGUAACACGUGGGCAAUCUGCCCUGCACUUCGGGAUAAGCCUGGGAAACUGGGUCUAAUACCGGAUAGGACCUUUAGGCGCAUGUCUUUAGGUGGAAAGCUUUUGCGGUGUGGGAUGGGCCCGCGGCCUAUCAGCUUGUUGGUGGGGUGAUGGCCUACCAAGGCGACGACGGGUAGCCGGCCUGAGAGGGUGUCCGGCCACACUGGGACUGAGAUACGGCCCAGACUCCUACGGGAGGCAGCAGUGGGGAAUAUUGCACAAUGGGCGCAAGCCUGAUGCAGCGACGCCGCGUGGGGGAUGACGGCCUUCGGGUUGUAAACCUCUUUCACCAUCGACGAAGGUCCGGGUUUUCUCGGAUUGACGGUAGGUGGAGAAGAAGCACCGGCCAACUACGUGCCAGCAGCCGCGGUAAUACGUAGGGUGCGAGCGUUGUCCGGAAUUACUGGGCGUAAAGAGCUCGUAGGUGGUUUGUCGCGUUGUUCGUGAAAUCUCACGGCUUAACUGUGAGCGUGCGGGCGAUACGGGCAGACUAGAGUACUGCAGGGGAGACUGGAAUUCCUGGUGUAGCGGUGGAAUGCGCAGAUAUCAGGAGGAACACCGGUGGCGAAGGCGGGUCUCUGGGCAGUAACUGACGCUGAGGAGCGAAAGCGUGGGGAGCGAACAGGAUUAGAUACCCUGGUAGUCCACGCCGUACACGGUGGGUACUAGGUGUGGGUUUCCUUCCUUGGGAUCCGUGCCGUAGCUGACGCAUUAAGUACCCCGCCUGGGGAGUACGGCCGCAAGGCUAAAACUCAAGGAAUUGACGGGGGCCCGCACAAGCGGCGGAGCAUGUGGAUUAAUUCGAUGCAACGCGAGAACCUUACCUGGGUUUGACAUGCACAGGACGCGUCUAGAGAUAGCGUCCUGUGGC
rnacentral:rRNA from 1 species